rnacentral:rRNA from 1 species
UACGUAGGGUGCGAGCGUUGUCCGGAAUUAUUGGGCGUAAAGAGCUUGUAGGCGGUUUGUCGCGUCUGCUGUGAAAUCUCAAGGCUCAACCUUGAGCUUGCAGUGGGUUCGGGCAGACUAGAGUGUGGUAGGGGAGACUGGAAUUCCUGGUGUAGCGGUGAAAUGCGCAGAUAUCAGGAGGAACACCGAUGGCGAAGGCAGGUCUCUGGGCCACUACUGACGCUGAGAAGCGAAAGCAUGGGGAGCGAACAGG